GGGGAAUCGAACCGUGACCUCUUGGUCCAUGAGUCAACAUUCAACCACUGACCACACCAGCUUCUAAAAUGAUAUUGUUUGCGACACAUCCUGUGUGGCUAUUUGACGCUGGGUACAUAAAAUGACCCCCCUGAAGUCAAACCUGAAAUGUGCGCACUCCGAUAUCUAGAUGGUUGCUUCUUCGUGGAACGGUCUGUUGACAUGAACGUGCUCCUUCAUCAAAGCUGCAGCUGAGGAACGCGUGCUUCUUGCCAUCAGUCCGUGGGGGAGUGGGGGGAGGACCACCGAGGUGAGGAGUGUACGUACCAUUGUGCCGGGAGAGCCAUCACAUGGCCGCUCUUCAAAGGGGGGCAAGCUCUUCUCUCCAAUUCUCGUCUCAUUGGACUCCGAGUUCUAAAACUUGAACGCACUUAGAGUGUCCGAAUGUAGCACGUGCUGCAAUCUACCACUGACGGGUUGAUGGCCUCGUUUGCUGGCCUCACAGGUAAUACUGUCACUUGUGCUUGGAAUCACAGACUUGAUUGACCUCAUUCCUGUUGAAAAAGACACCCUGUGGAAUUAAGUCUCUCUUUUUUUUAUGAAAGCCUCAUGUCACGUAAGUGCAGAAAACUCGCUUAUUUUUGUUUCAAAUACUACCUAGGGUGACAUGAUCCGCAUUUGUAUUUUGCAACUUGCUUACCUGGGAGGGGGCGUUGGGACUUGACAUGCAGUAUGAAGUCGCCUAUGUACAUUUUGCCUAUUGGUAUGCUGUGAUGAGGAAGUCUGAAAUGUUUAUCAAAAUAAAGUUUUUCUUACCCUGGAUAAAACUGGUUGCUAUUA